UACGUAGGGGCCGAGCGUUUGUCCGGAGUUAUUGGGCGUAAAGCGCGCGCAGGCGGCUUCGCGCGCCCGACGUGAAAGCCCCCGGCUUAACCGGGGAGAGUCGGUGGGGACGGCGGAGCUUGAGGGCGGGAGAGGUCGGUGGAAUUCCCGGUGUAGUGGUGAAAUGCGUAGAGAUCGGGAGGAACACCUGUGGCGAAGGCGGCCGACUGGGCCGACCCUGA
rnacentral:rRNA from 1 species